UGAUGAUGGUGGGGGCAAUUUUUGAGCAUACCCUUAAAUCUUUCCCAAGCUUGGAAAAGAUUUUCUCUUUUUUUGGGCAUGAAACUCAGAAUCUCGCUUCUUAAAUG
rfam:Capsicum annuum cultivar Zunla-1 chromosome 1, whole genome shotgun sequence